UUCUGCCUUACAUCUCACUCGAUGCUGCUGAUGAAGGUUGCCGUUGAAGGCUGCCGUCGAGGUUAACGCUGUUGAAGGUUCGCUGCCGUCGAAGGUUCGUCAUCGUCGAAGGUUCGUCGCCGUCGAAGGUUCGCCGCCGUCGAAGGUUCGUCGGAGGCUCACCCCUGUCGAAGGUUUUGCCGCACUCUACCGUCGACGAACUGUCGAAGGUUCUUCUACAUACCUUUUCGGAGUUCCUUUCCACUCUCUGGGUAAAAGAGUGGAUUGCUCAACCUCCCUGUUCCCCCUCCAUGUGGAACUCUCUACAAUUUCUGUGUCCCCUCGUUCUACUUCGAAGAGUAUAUCCUCUGCACAGGCUAAAAGAUUCACAAAAUUCAGGGAAAGGAAAGGGCUUAUUGAGAAAGAUGUGGUGAGAACUGAUAGAUCGAUCCUUUCAAAUAUUCUACGAGAUAUACUGUUGACCUAUUCAUUUUAUAACUUUGAUCUUGGUUAUUGCCAGCAAUGAUGAGGUUAAUUGGAGGAAGGACUUUUUGUGGUGAAUGUGUGAGAAAUGUGAUGCCAAGGUUUUCCCCUUCAUCUUGGAUUCACAUCACAACCCUGCUUCAAUAUGGGGAUGCUGUUAGCCAAUAUCAGCAUUGAGGAGUUUUGUAUAAUUAUAUAUAAAUUAAAUA